rnacentral:misc_RNA from 1 species
AAGGCGAGCGACUUGUCG